GACGAACGCUGGCGGCGUGCUUAACACAUGCAAGUCGAACGGAAAGGCCCUGCUUUUGUGGGGUGCUCGUGUGGCGAACGGGUGAGUAACACGUGAGUAACCUGCCCUUGACUUUGGGAUAACUUCAGGAAACUGGGGCUAAUACCGGAUAGGAGCUCCUGCUGCAUGGUGGGGGUUGGAAAGUUUCGGCGGUUGGGGAUGGACUCGCGGCUUAUCGGCUUGUUGGUGGGGUAGUGGCUUACCAAGGCUUUGACGGGUAGCCGGCCUGAGAGGGUGACCGGCCACAUUGGGACUGAGAUACGGCCCAGACUCCUACGGGAGGCAGCAGUGGGGAAUAUUGCACAAUGGGCGGAAGCCUGAUGCAGCAACGCCGCGUGCGGGAUGACGGCCUUCGGGUUGUAAACCGCUUUCGCCUGUGACGAAGCGUGAGUGACGGUAAUGGGUAAAGAAGCACCGGCUAACUACGUGCCAGCCGCCGCCGUAA
rnacentral:rRNA from 1 species